rnacentral:rRNA from 1 species
UGUUUCGGCUAGGGGGCCAUCCCGGCUUACCAACCCGAUGCAAACUGCGAAUACCGGAGAAUGUUAUCACGGGAGACACACGGCGGGUGCUAACGUCCGUCGUGAAGAGGGAAACAACCCAGACCGCCAGCUAAGGUCCCAAAGUCAUGGUUAAGUGGGAAACGAUGUGGGAAGGCCCAGACAGCCAGGAUGUUGGCUUAGAAGCAGCCAUCAUUUAAAGAAAGCGUAAUAGCUCACUGGUCGAGUCGGCCUGCGCGGAAGAUGUAACGGGGCUAAACCAUGCACCGAAGCUGCGGCAGCGACACUGUGUGUUGUUGGGUAGGGGAGCGUUCUGUAAGCCUGUGAAGGUGGCCUGUGAGGGUUGCUGGAGGUAUCAGAAGUGCGAAUGCUGACAUAAGUAACGAUAAAGCGGGUGAAAAGCCCGCUCGCCGGAAGACCAAGGGUUCCUGUCCAACGUUAAUCGGGGCAGGGUGAGUCGACCCCUAAGGCGAGGCCGAAAGGCGUAGUCGAUGGGAAACAGGUUAAUAUUCCUGUACUUGGUGUUACUGCGAAGGGGGGACGGAGAAGGCUAUGUUGGCCGGGCGACGGUUGUCCCGGUUUAAGCGUGUAGGUGU